CUGAGUGCUUGGAAAUCUUGAAAAGCUGCAGCCUGGAAUCCCAGGCUGAUCUGAAGGAACGGGAACAAGAUGCUGGAUCAGCUGUUGUCAAAAUGAAAAUAUUAAAAGAAGAUGAGUCACUCACAAUCUAAGACCUGUUCUUUUGAAAAGAAAGGCUACUAUUUGAGAGACUUGAUGUCAUUGACCUACCAGUUUCUCUGAUGAACGGAGUGAAUCUCAGCCAUCUGCUUUCAGUUAUCUGGCAUAAGUACGCAUUUCUUGUAGUUUAAUCUUUCAUUAAGCUGAAAAGGGAAAUGAAUAAUUUAAUUGAACUGCAUUUCUAUUUGCAAGAUUUAUUUGCAGGAUUAGUUGUUGUCUAUCCUCCCAAUGUCACAAGCGCAAAUGAACCCUGUGUCCUCAGUCCGUUCCUCUGUGGAUGUUUGCCUACAUCAUAAAGGAAGUACUUAAUUUGAUACCACUGAUGGCAUUACAUCAGAAAAAGGAUCAGGGCUGGAAAAGCUUCGAGAAGAAAAUAUGCUCAGAGCUGAACAAGAUAGUCAAUGAUAACUCGCUUACUUGUAGUUCAGUCUGGCUUUAGUCAAGCGUGAUUAGUUCUCCUUUUCAAGUGUACUGAAUUUUUCACUCAUUUUAAGACAAAAAAAAAUUUUUUUUGUCUUAGCAACCUUUCUAGAAGUGCCAGAAGACUACAGAGUUGUCUGAGAUAACCAAACACACAUGAGAAAUUCUGGACGAGCCAAAGUCCCCCUACCAAAGGAAAUUACUUGAGAUGUCUCUAAAGAGUACACUGAUAAUUUUUUUCAAUGUAGUUGGAUUUAUUCCCUCUUGCUGCGAGGUAAUUGAAAAUGGUCUGUAGACCAUGGUUAAACAUUUGGACAUUAAAGUUUUUUUUUUUCUUCAUAGCAUAUCGCAGAAGAAUUUCUCUGGAAACAUUCCAGAUCACUGAAGUGCAUGUCAUUUCCUCAGCGUCUAAGGCAAGAACAGCAGAACAUUGUUUUAAUCUUUCCAGAUUUUAAAAAUCAUGAGCUUUUCUGGGAGAGGUUGUCUUUCGCACGGAGUUCCAACAUCAGCACUGGAGCUGCAUUCGUGGCCUCAGAGAAGUCGCCUGCGUCUCUCCCACUGUGAACUCUGCACCUCAAGCAGUCCCGCACCCAGAUGAGGCCCUGCUUAUUCGGUGGGACAAAGGCUGCACCUCAUUUAUGACUUGUUAAAUAUUUUUGCGUACAAGUGUUAAGAAAUGCAAAGGGGAAAAAUGCAGCGUUUUGAAUUAUGAAAGUGAACAGCUCACAAAUUAUUCAGUCAAAAACUUUCACAUGCAUGAGGCUUUGAGUGUCCAUAUUGCUUUGUCCAUCAAGGGAUUGAGUCCAGUCCCAGAAGAAGCAGAGGGACACCUGCA
rnacentral:lncRNA from 1 species